rnacentral:rRNA from 1 species
AGCGUAGACGGUGUGGCAAGUCUGAUGUGAGAGGCAUGGGCUCAACCUGUGGACUGCAUUGGAAACUGUCAUACUUGAGUGCCGGAGGGGUAAGCGGAAUUCCUAGUGUAGCGGUGAAAUGCGUAGAUAUUAGGAGGAACACCAGUGGCGAAGGCGGCUUACUGGACGGUAACUGACGUUGAGGCUCGAAAGCGUGGGGAGCAAACA